AAUACCUAGGAAUCUGCCUGGUAGUGGGGGAUAACGUUCGGAAACGGACGCUAAUACCGCAUACGUCCUACGGGGGAAAGCAGGGGACCUUCGGGCCUUGCGCUAUCAGAUGAGCCUAGGUCGGAUUAGCUAGUUGGUGAGGUAAUGGCUCACCAAGGCUACGAUCCGUAACUGGUCUGAGAGGAUGAUCAGUCACACUGGAACUGAGACACGGUCCAGACUCCUACGGGAGGCAGCAGUGGGGAAUAUUGGACAAUGGGCGAAAGCCUGAUCCAGCCAUGCCGCGUGUGUGAAGAAGGUCUUCGGAUUGUAAAGCACUUUAAGUUGGGAGGAAGGGCAUUAACCUAAUACGUUAGUGCUUUGACGUUACCGACAGAAUAAGCACCGGCUAACUCUGUGCCAGCAGCCGCGGUAAUACAGAGGGUGCAAGCGUUAAUCGGAAUUACUGGGCGUAAAGCGCGCGUAGGUGGUUUGUUAAGUUGAAUGUGAAAUCCCCGGGCUCAACCUGGGAACUGCAUCCAAAACUGGCAAGCUAGAGUAUGGUAGAGGGUAGUGGAAUUUCCUGUGUAGCGGUGAAAUGCGUAGAUAUAG
rnacentral:rRNA from 1 species